AUUGAACGCUGGCGGCAGGCCUAACACAUGCAAGUCGAGCGGGGUUUUCGGACCUAGCGGCGGACGGGUGAGUAAUGCGUAGGAAGCUACCCGAUAGAGGGGGAUACCAGUUGGAAACGACUGUUAAUACCGCAUAACGUCUACGGACCAAAGUGUGGGACCUUCGGGCCACAUGCUAUCGGAUGCGCCUACGUGGGAUUAGCUAGUUGGUGGGGUAAUGGCUCACCAAGGCGACGAUCCCUAGCUGGUUUGAGAGGAUGAUCAGCCACACUGGAACUGAGACACGGUCCAGACUCCUACGGGAGGCAGCAGUGGGGAAUAUUGGACAAUGGGCGCAAGCCUGAUCCAGCCAUGCCGCGUGUGUGAAGAAGGCCUUCGGGUUGUAAAGCACUUUCAGUAGGGAGGAAGAGUUGAGUGUUAAUAGUACUCAGCUUUGACGUUACCUACAGAAGAAGCACCGGCUAACUCUGUGCCAGCCGCCGCAGUAACAC
rnacentral:rRNA from 1 species